CAACGUAGGUAAUCUACCUUCGGAUGGGGGAAUAACAACCGGAAACGGUUGCUAAUACCGCAUAAUGCAGCGGCACCUAAUGGUGACAGUUGUUAAAGCGGGGGAUUGAAAGACCUCGCGUCUGAAGAGGAGCCUGCGGCGGAUUAGCUAGUUGGUAAGGUAACGGCUUACCAAGGCGACGAUCCGUAGCCGGCCUGAGAGGGCGGUCGGCCACACUGACACUGACAUACGGGUCAG
rnacentral:rRNA from 1 species